rnacentral:rRNA from 1 species
GAUGAACGCUAGCGGCAGGCUUAACACAUGCAAGUCGAGGGGUAGAGGAAGCUUGCUUCCUUGAGACCGGCGCACGGGUGCGUAACGCGUAUACAAUCUACCUUUUACAGAGGGAUAGCCCCAGAGAAAUUUGGAUUAAUACCUCAUAGUAUUUUCGGAUCGCAUGAUUUGAUUAUUAAAGUUCCAACGGUAAAGAUGAGUAUGCGUCCCAUUAGCUAGAUGGUAAGGUAACGGCUUACCAUGGCAAUGAUGGGUAGGGGUCCUGAGAGGGAGAUCCCCCACACUGGUACUGAGACACGGACCAGACUCCUACGGGAGGCAGCAGUGAGGAAUAUUGGACAAUGGGCGCAAGCCUGAUCCAGCCAUGCCGCGUGCAGGAUGACGGUCCUAUGGAUUGUAAACUGCUUUUAUACAGGAAGAAACACUACUUCGUGAAGUAGCUUGACGGUACUGUAAGAAUAAGGAUCGGCUAAACUCCGUGCCAGCA